rnacentral:rRNA from 1 species
GCGGUGAAAUGCGUAGAUAUCUGGAAGAACACCGGUGGCGAAAGCGGCCUCCUGGACGGUGACUGACGCUGAGACGCGAAAGCGUGGGGAGCAAACAGGAUUAGAUACCCUGGUAGUCCACGCCAUAAACGAUGAACACUAGUCGUCGUGAUGCUUGUCAUUGCGGUGAUGCACUUAACAGAUUAAGUGUUCCGCCUGGGGAGUACGGUCGCAAGAUUAAAACUCAAAGGAAUAGACGGGGACCCGCACAAGUGGUGGAGCAUGUGGUUUAAUUCGAAGAUACGCGAAAAACCUUACCUGGUCUUGACAUUGAUAGAAUCUGCUAGAGAUAGCGGAGUGCCCUUCGGGGAGCUUGAAAACAGGUGCUGCACGGCUGUCGUCAGCUCGUGUCGUGAGAUGUUGGGUUAAGUCCCGCAACGAGCGCAACCCUCGUCCUUAGUUGCCAGCAGGUUAAGCUGGGCACUCUAGGGAGACUGCCUUCGUAAGGAGGAGGAAGGUGAGGACGACGUCAAGUCAUCAUGGCCCUUACGGCCAGGGCUACACACGUGCUACAAUGGGGCGUACAGAGUGUUGCAAUACCGCGAGGUGGAGCCAAUCACUUAAAGCGUCUCUCAGUUCGGAUUGUUCUCUGCAACUCGAGAGCAUGAAGUCGGAAUCGCUAGUAAUCGCGGAUCAGCAUGUCGCGGUGAAUACGUUCCCGGGUCUUGUACACACCGCCCGUCACACCAUGGGAGGGAAUCUGGCAGAAGUAGGUAGCCUAACCGCAAGGAGGGCGCUACCACGC